CGCUGGCGGCGUGCCUAAUACAUGCAAGUCGAACGAACGGAUUGAGGAGCUUGCUCUUCAAGGAAGUUAGUGGCGGACGGGUGAGUAACACGUGGGUAACCUGCCCUUCAGCGGGGGAUAACAUCCGGAAACGGGUGCUAAUACCGCAUAGUUUCUUUUUGUCGCAUGGCAGAGGGAAGAAAGAGAGGCUCUUCGGAGCUUUCGCUGAAGAGGGGCUUGCGUCUGAUUAGCUAGUUGGAGGGGUAACGGCCCACCAAGGCGACGAUCGGUAGCCGGACUGAGAGGUUGAACGGCCACAUUGGGACUGAGACACGGCCCAGACUCCUACGGGAGGCAGCAGUGGGGAAUAUUGCACAAUGGGGGGAACCCUGAUGCAGCGACGCCGCGUGGAGGAAGAAGGUCUUCGGAUUGUAAACUCCUGUUGUUAGGGACGAUAAUGACGGUACCUAACAAGGAAGCACCGGCUAACUACGUG
rnacentral:rRNA from 1 species